GAGCACCAGCCAACAUUACACACUCUACACUGUCUCCCAACCUCAGUAGCUUCUAAACAGUGACGGGGGACGUACGUCAGCCCCUCUUCCUGCCUACCCUCUGGAGAGACAAGCUGCAAUGUGCCCCCCUCGACUCUCCUGACACCUGGCGAGCAUUCCAUUAGUGCCUUACGGGAUUCUAGUAACACUUCUGCAGGAUGGCGGACAACAACAAGCCACCGAAGGACUGGGAGCUGCGGUCCUUCUCCUCUGGGAAGCUCAAGAAAUCCUCCUCGGUGGAGAUCCUGCUGGGGACUCAUCCUACACGCGGCCGCUUUCUCGCCACCUCCCCGCUGCCCUCCAGCCGCGUCACCAGCCACAACAUGAAGGGAUCAGGCCGCCCCUCUAGCACCCCGAAGGCUGGCACCCUCCCCUCUUCUACAGCGCCACUGUCUGGUGCCGCCCCUCCCUCAGUGCAGAACGUAGGUGUUAAGGACCAAGGAUCAGUGCCAAAUAACACAGUGCCACAGAACAAGGCAGCUGCAAAGACCAAGGAGACAGUGCCAAGUAACGCAGUGCCACAGAACAAGGCCGCUGCAAAAACCAAGGAGACAGUGCCAAGUAACGCAGUGCCACAGAACAAUGCUGCUACAAAGACCAAGGAGACAGUGCCAAGUAACGCAGUGCCAGGGAAAAAGGGAGACGUAGCGAUAGAGAUGGAAACAGUGCCUAGUAAACCAGCGGUAGCCAAGGAGAACAAAGCAGUGACACCUGAACUCACUGGGUCGAACAGUUCACUAAUAAGAAUGCUGGAACCCACACCUGUCCCUGUGCCCGUCACCUCAACACCUGUGGCCGCUAAACCCCCGCCACCUGUCCUCCCCACCCCACUACACACACCACCCCUGGCCAGACUCAAAAACCUGAAGGACAAAGGGAGUCACUUACCGCCCUUAAACACCUCACACAAGCUAGACCAGUCCCCUAUGAGCACACCUCGAGAGACUCCCAAGAGCACUCCGAAGGGCACUCCCAAGGGCACCCCGAUCAUAGGGAAGCGAGGUCACGUGUUCUCAGUGUCGACGCCUGACGUGGAGCCUGAAACUGGGCAGCCUCUUCCCUUCCCCUUCGAGAGAACCAAGAAACCAGUGACGGAGUGCCUUAGUGACCCCUUCGAAGUGCGCCGCAAGAUCAAACCCCUGACAGAGCCCGUGCUGAAGGAGAAGAGUGGAGGCGAGGAAGAGGAACCUGUGUGGCAAAGAAGACUCUCCCUCCUCUUCGUGCCGCCCACAGAAGAUGAACUGGAGCCGGAGAAGGAACCAGAGGAGACUACGAGACUUCUCCCAGCACUGAUCACCCCACUCAUCCUCCGCAAGCAGUCAGUGGAUAGCGUCGCCUCACCCCCGAUCUCCAGGCGCAAGGAUCGUUUGGAGAGGGCGAUCAAGAAGAAAGAGAAAGAGGCGAGCAAGAAGGAAAGACAGGCGAGGGAAAAACUGAUCCGAGAGGAGGCGAGGCAACCACGUAUUAAUUUCGAGGAGGAGAAUAACAAGAGAGAAGAGGAGCGAAAGAAGAAAGAAAAGGAGGAACCAAGGAGGGCUGAGGCGAAAUUCUCAAGAUUAAGGAAUUCAUUCAGUGAUGACCCCGUCUCGUCCUCGUCCUCCAUGGGAUCGAGUGAGGAGGACGAGAAGGAGAGGGAAGAGGAGGAGGAGGAGGAGGGGAAAGAGCAGCUGGACGACUAUACCUCCUGGGAUGACACUAUCUGCUCCAAUCGCUCCGCCUUCUUCAAGAAAUACUAUACCCAGCGAGGCGUGAUAGGCAAGGCGGCGGAGGCGGAGGACAAGGAGGAAAGCUUUAGAUCCCCCUUCGAAGCGUCUCAUAAUUCUCUCUCUUCACUCAUACGGGAGAGAAUGGGGAAGACACCGCCGGGCCAGGGGAAGAAGACCACUCAGCUUGGCCUGGUGGUGCUGGUGGUGGUGCUGCUGGUGGUGAUAGUGGUGGGUAUCAGCCUCACCCAUUACUUCUACCACCUACACCUGCUGGAGCUGUCCAUCUUUAACCGCAUCAAGUUCUACGAGGGUCCGCGCCACCUGGAGGUGUACGACCCCACGUGGAAGCCCGUCAUCACCUUGCACAUGGGGACCAACCUGCCAAAGUACUCUAUCCCCGAAGACUGCACCGACUACCUCAACUACCUGCAGGACGAGAACUACACUCUCCCGCACCAUGGACUCGACGAUGACGAAUACGAGGAGAUGAUCUGCCUGGACUGGACGGCCCUGGCGCAGCUGCAUCUCCGCAAGCUGUACGCAGCGGGCAGCGUGCAGUGCUACACGGUGUGGUGGGUGGCGCUCAAACACGACUUCACGCUGCGGGACUGUCUGAUGCCCAGCACCACCGAACACGUGGAGGUGCGCAACAUCACGUGGUGGGGGGGCGGGGAGAUGUCGUCAGGGGGGUUCCCCAUCAGCAGGGCCGAUGUGCCCCCCGAGGAGAUGGUCACCGGCAAGCUGAACCGCGACCCGUGGGGCCAGCUGCUCCGCCGCACGUGGCUAUCAGACCACGCCACGCUGCUCAUGCUGCCCUCAAGGUUCGGCGGCCGGGUGUCCGUCAACCACAACCAGGACAACAAGGUGUGCCUCGAGAUGCACGUCACCGCCUGCACCGACGACGACGCCAACCUCAGCUACACCGUGUGCACGGCGCCCAACCUCACCGCGCUGGCCGGCUACAUGCACCAGCGCGCCGUGGAGGAGAGGCACAGCGUGGGGACCACCGUGCCCUCCCUCGUCAACUACAGCAUGGAGGAAGUACCGGUGGAGGAGAGCGAGGGCGAGGAGCAACCGGUGGCUAUGAUGCGCGAGACCUUCAAUCAGGAGGUGGUGGCGCGGGUGGAGGAGCGCCUGGAGCACCCUGUGUGGGUAAUGCCAGAGACCUCCUACCUGACGCAGCAGAUGGUGGUGGACUACGUGCAGCGCCUGGACCGCCUGCUGGCCAACACCACGGGGACGCGCGGCCACGUGUUGCUGCCCCCCACGUGGCAGACGCGGCCCGGGGAGCUGGAGUUUGACCCCGAGAGGUUCCCUGACCCCUUGGGUCUGUCCCAGGUCACGCGAGACAAGGGCUUCCACCUGGCGCUCACCCUACACCCCUUCGUCAGUGUGGACGCCCCGGGCUUCAAGGAAGGCAUGAGGGAGGGACUGUGGGUGCGACAGAAAAAGUCCAGGCUGCCGGCCCUCGCCCGCUAUGAAAACUGGCAUCCCUCUGUGGUGACGGACUUCAGCAAUCCUAGGGCGCGCCGCUGGUACGCCGCGCAGCUCAACGGUCUCAGGGACGAGUACGAGGUGGACCGCUUCCACCUGCAGCCCGCUGACGCCCACGCACUACCUGUCUACCACGAGUACCACACGCCCUUCACCGACCCAGACGACACCCUGGUGCACUUCAUGGCCUCCGUCAGCAGUGUCUCGCCGCCCAUCAGCACGGAGGGCGCCGUCAUGCCGCCGCUACCGCCCACCUUCGUCACCAUGGGCAGCGGGGAGGGUUCCUGGAAGGAGCUGGAGACACUGGUGCCCCGGGCCCUCACCAUGACCAUGCUGGGCUACCCCUUCAUUGAUGUGGGGCUGAUCGGCGGACCACCCCGCGGCGACAGCGAACUUUACAUUCGGUGGAUCGAAGCGGCGACCUUCCUACCCGCCAUGCAGAUCAGCGUGCUACCUGACACAUACGGAGAGGAGGUGCUGGAGAUAGCCAAGCAGUACCAAGACCUCAGGAAGACCCUAGUCCUACCUCGUCUCCUGGAAAAGGUCCCGGCAGCUCUACAGAACGGGACACCUCUCAUCACACCACUGGUUCUCUUCGCACCGCAGGACACAGAGGCUCUCAAAGUGGAUGACCAGUGGAUGUUGAGUGAUGACCUCCUAGUGGCGCCCGUGACCCACAGAGGAAGGCAAACCAGGGACGUGUAUCUCCCCAAGGGUAUCUGGAAGGACGGGAUAACAGGGAAAUUAAAGAACGGAGGGCGCUGGAUUAGAGAUUACCAGGUUCCUUUGACGAAAAUUCCUUACUUUAUCCUUCGACCUGUUGAUGAUUUCCGCAGGUGAGAGAGAGAGAGAGAGAGAGAGAGAGAGAGAGAGAGAGAGAGAGAGAGAGAGAGAGAGAGAGAGAGAGAGAGAGAGAGAGAGAGAGAGAGAGAGAGAGAGAGAGAGA
rnacentral:misc_RNA from 1 species